GACGAACGCUCGCGGCGUGCCUAAUACAUGCAAGUAGAACGCUGAAGGAGGAGCUUGCUUCUCUGGAUGAGUUGCGAACGGGUGAGUAACGCGUAGGUAACCUGCCUGGUAGCGGGGGAUAACUAUUGGAAACGAUAGCUAAUACCGCAUAAGAGUAGAUGUUGCAUGACAUUUGCUUAAAAGGUGCAAUUGCAUCACUACCAGAUGGACCUGCGUUGUAUUAGCUAGUUGGUGGGGUAACGGCUCACCAAGGCGACGAUACAUAGCCGACCUGAGAGGGGGAUCGGCCACACUGGGACUGAGACACGGCCCAGACUCCUACGGGAGGCAGCAGUAGGGAAUCUUCGGCAAUGGACGGAAGUCUGACCGAGCAACGCCGCGUGAGUGAAGAAGGUUUUCGGAUCGUAAAGCUCUGUUGUAAGAGAAGAACGAGUGUGAGAGUGGAAAGUUCACACUGUGACGGUAUCUUACCAGAAAGGGACGGCUAACUACGUG
rnacentral:rRNA from 1 species